AGUGAACGCUGGCGGUAGGCCUAACGCAUGCAAGUCGAACGGCAGCACAGUAAGAGCUUGCUCUUACGGGUGGCGAGUGGCGGACGGGUGAGGAAUACAUCGGAAUCUACUUUUUCGUGGGGGAUAACGUAGGGAAACUUACGCUAAUACCGCAUACGACCUACGGGUGAAAGCAGGGGAUCUUCGGACCUUGCGCGAUUGAAUGAGCCGAUGUCGGAUUAGCUAGUUGGCGGGGUAAAGGCCCACCAAGGCGACGAUCCGUAGCUGGUCUGAGAGGAUGAUCAGCCACACUGGAACUGAGACACGGUCCAGACUCCUACGGGAGGAAGCAGUGGGGAAUAUUGGACAAUGGGCGCAAGCCUGAUCCAGCCAUACCGCGUGGGUGAAGAAGGCCUUCGGGUUGUAAAGCCCUUUUGUUGGGAAAGAAAAGCAGCAGGUUAAUACCCCGCUGUUCUGACGGUACCCAAAGAAUAAGCACCGGCUAACUUCGUG
rnacentral:rRNA from 1 species